rnacentral:rRNA from 1 species
AGUGGAUGGGGAGCAACCUAGUUGUGCGUGUGUAAAGGUAGUGCCAAGAAAAGCGAUGAUCAUGUUGAAAAUCAAUUCCCGGUACCCGAAACCGACACAGGUGGGCAAGUAGAGAAUACUAAGGGGCGCGAGGUAACUCUCUCCAAGGAACUCGGCAAAAUGACCCCGUAACUUAGGGAGAAGGGGUGCCACCGAGAGGUGGUCGCAGUGAAGAGGCCCAGGCGUCUGUUUAGCAAAAACAUAGGUCUCUGCAAACUCGAAAGAGGAGGUAUAGGGGCUGACGCCUGCCCAGUGCCGGAAGGUUAAAGAAGUUGGUCAGUUUUAGGACGAAGCUAGCGACUGAAGCCCCGGUGAACGGCGGCCGUAACUAUAACGGUCCUAAGGUAGCGAAAUUCCUUGUCGGGUAAGUUCCGACCCGCACGAAAGGCGUAACGAUCUGGGCGCUGUCUCGGAGAGAGGCUCGGCGAAAUAGGAUUGUCUGUGAAGAUACGGACUACCUGCAUUUGGACAGAAAGACCCUAUGAAGCUUUACUAUAGCUUGGAAUUGUGUUCGGGCUUCCUGUGCGCAGGAUAGGUGGGAUGCGUAGAAGGUAUUCUCGUGGGGAUACUGGAGCCAACGGUGAGAUACCACUCUCAGGAGGCUAGAAUUCUAACUUAAUUAAGGACAGUUUCAGGUGGGUAGUUUGACUGGGGCGGUCGCCUCCAAAAAGGUAACGGAGGCGUACAAAGGUUCCCUCAGACUGGUUGGAAAUCAGUCGAAGAGUGCAAAGGCAGAAGGGAGCUUGACUGCGAGAAGUACAGUUCGAGCAGGGUGGAAACACGGUCUUAGUGAUCCGACGGUGCUGUGUGGAAGGGCCGUCGUUCAACGGAUAAAAGUUACUCUAGGAUAACAGGCUGAUCUCCCCCAAGAGUUCACAUCGACGGGGAGGUUUGGCACCUCGAUGUCGGCUCAUCGCAACCUGGGGCGGAAGUACGUCCCAAGGGUUGGGCUGUUCGCCCAUUAAAGCGGUACGUGAGCUGGGUUCAGAACGUCGUGAGACAGUUCGGUCCAUAUCCGAUGUAGGCGUGAGAAUAUUGAGAGGAGCCUUCCUUAGUACGAGAGGACCGGGAAGGACGCACCGCUGGUGUACCUGUUACGAUGCCAAUUGUAAACGCAGGGUAGCCAAGUGCGGAGAGGAUAACCGCUGAAAGCAUCUAAGUGGGAAGCCCACCUCAAGAUGAGUAUUCUGGUGUAAGGUCACGGGAAGACGACCCGUAAAUAGGCACGAGGUGGAAGUGCAGAGAUGUAUGAAGCCGAAGUGUACUAAUAGACCGUCGGCUUGACC